rnacentral:lncRNA from 1 species
UCAGAGAUAGGUUGGUUCGACUGAGAUGAAUGACCGAUCGUGGGUGACUCCACUAAAUUGGAAACUCUCGUCGACUGAUACUAAUUUGAUUUUACUGUCGUUUUGGUACCCUGUGUCCGUAUUUGAAUCAUCGAGAUUUUCACCAUAAUCAAGAGUCGCCAAUGUGUCGAGUGGGUUCAUCGUGGCUCGAAGAAAAUCGACCACGGGUCAUUUGUCCUAAAAAGCUCUGAAAACUACCUAGUAGCCUAGGUCACACUAAAAGCGUGUCGGAGUGAAAUUAACCGCCA